rnacentral:rRNA from 1 species
GACGAACGCUGGCGGCGUGCUUAACACAUGCAAGUCGAACGGAAAGGCCCUGCUUGCAGGGUGCUCGUGUGGCGAACGGGUGAGUAACACGUGGGUGAUCUGCACCUUUCUUUGGGUUAAGCCUGGGAAACUGGGUCUAAUACUGGAUAGGUUCAUGCUGUAGGUGGCGUGGUGGCAAGAUUAGUUUCGGUAAGGGAUGAGCUCGCGGCCUAUCAGCUUGGUGGAGGGGUAAUGGCAUACCAAGGCGUCGAGGGGUAGCCGUCCUGAGAGGCUGGACGACCACAUUGGGGCUGAGAUACGGCCCACACUCCUGCGGGGUGCAGCAGUGGAGAAUAUAACACAGUUGGCGCAAGCCUGAUGCAGCGACGGCGCGUGGUGGGUGACUGCCUUCGUGUUGUAAGCACCUUUCAGCCAUGACGAAGCCGGCGGGUGACGGUAGUGGUAGAAUAAGCACCGGCUAGCUACGUG